rnacentral:rRNA from 1 species
AGAGUUUGAUCAUGGCUCAGGAUGAACGCUAGCGGGAGGCCUAAUACAUGCAAGUCGAGGGGCAGCAGUACAGUACCUAGUAUUGUAGCUGGCGACCGGCGCACGGGUGAGUAACGCGUACGCAACUUACCUCCAAGAGGGGAAUAGCCCUGGGAAACUGGGAUUAAUGCCCCAUGGUUUAAUGACACUGCCUGGUGUUAUUAAUAAAGCUGAGGCGCUUGGAGAUAGGCGUGCGUCCUAUUAGCUAGUUGGUGAGGUAACGGCUCACCAAGGCGAUGAUAGGUAGGGGGCGUGAGAGCGUGACCCCCCACACGGGUACUGAGACACGGACCCGACUCCUACGGGAGGCAGCAGUAAGGAAUAUUGGACAAUGGAGGCAACUCUGAUCCAGCCAUCCCGCGUGCAGGAUGAAUGCCCUUUGGGUUGUAAACUGCUUUUACUAGGGAAGAAAGGUAGUCAUUUAUGAUUAUUUGACGGUACCUAAAGAAUAAGCACCGGCUAACUCCGUGCCAGCAGCCGCGGUAAUACGGAGGGUGCAAGCGUUAUCCGGAUUUACUGGGUUUAAAGGGUGCGUAGGCGGCUUAUUAAGUCAUAGGUGAAAGGCAUCGGCUUAACCGAUGGAUUGCCUGUGAUACUGGUGAGCUUGAAUUGGGUUGAGGUUGGCGGAAUGACAUGUAGCGGUGAAAUGCAUAGAUAUGUCAUAGAACAUCGAUUGCGAAGGCAGCUGACUGGACCUUGAUUGACGCUGAGGCACGAAAGCGUGGGUAGCGAACAGGAUUAGAUACCCUAGUAGUCC